rnacentral:rRNA from 1 species
AGUGAACGCUGGCGGUAGGCCUAACACAUGCAAGUCGAACGGCAGCACAGUAAAUGCUUGCUCUUACGGGUGGCGCGUGGCGGACGGGUGCGGCAUACAUCGGACUAUACUUUUUCGUGGGGGCUAACGUAGGGAAACUUACGCUAAUACCGCAUACGACCUACGGGUGAAAGCAGGGGAUCUUCGGACAUUGCGCGAUUGAAUGAGCCGACGUCGGAUUAGCCAGUAGGCGGGGUAAAGGCCCACGAAGGCAACGAUCGGUAGCUGGUCUGAAAGGAUGGUCAGGCACAUUGGAACUGAGACAGAGUCCAGACACUUGCGGGGGGCAGCAGUGGAGAAUAUUGGGCGAUGGAGGCAAGCGGAAUCCAGCGAUACGGGGUGAGGGAAGAAGGCGUUCGAGUUGGAGAGCCCUGUAGUUUGGAAAGAAGAACAGCAGGUUAAUACCGCGCGGUUCUGACGGUACCCAAAGAAUAAGCACCGGCUAACUUCGUG